AUUGAACGCUGGCGGCAUGCCUAACACAUGCAAGUCGAGCGGAGCUGCGGACGGGUGAGUAAUGCCUACGAAUCUGCCUGGUCGUUGGGGAUAACGUCCGGACACGGGCCCUAAUACCGCAUACUAUCAGAUGAGCCUAGGUCGGAUUAGCUCGGUGGUGGGGUAAAGGCCUACCAAGGCGACGAUCCGUAACGGGUCUGAGAGGCUGAUCAGUCACACUGGAACUGAGACACGGUCCAGACUCCUACGGGAGGCAGCAGUGGGGAAUAUUGGACAAUGGGCGAAAGCCUGAUCCAGCCAUGCCGCGUGUGUGAAGAAGGUCUUCGGAUUGUAAAGCACUUUAAGUUGGGAGGCGUUACCAACAGAAUAAGCAACGGCUAACUUCGUGCCAGCAGCCGCGGUAAUUC
rnacentral:rRNA from 1 species